AUACGAGGGGUGCAAGCGUUAAUCGGAAUUACUGGGCGUAAAGCGUUCGUAGGCGGUUUGUUAAGCAAGAUGUGAAAGCCCUGGGCUCAACCUGGGAACUGCAUUUUGAACUGGCAAGCUAGAAUACUGUAGAGGGUGGUGGAAUUUCCAGUGUAGCGGUGAAAUGCGCAGAGAUUGGAAGGAACAUCAGUGGCGGAGGCGGCCACCUGGACAGAUCUUGACGCUGAGGAACGAAAGCGUGGGGAGCGAACAGGAUUAGAAACCCCGGUAGUCC
rnacentral:rRNA from 1 species